GACGAACGCUGGCGGCGUGCUUAACACAUGCAAGUCGAACGGUGAAGGGACCGGUUUUUGCUGGUUCUGGAUGAGGGGGGAACGGGUGAGUAACACGUGAGAAACCUGCCCCCUUCUUCUGGAUAACCGCAUGAAAGGGUGGCUAAUACGGGAUAUUCUUGGCCUGCUGCAUGGAGGGGGUGGGAAAGAUAUUGUUUCGGUGGGUGAUGGGCUCGCGGCCUAUCGGCUUGGUGGGGGGGGGAUGGGCUACAAAGGCGGUGACGGGGAGGCGGCCUGAGAGGGUGGACGGUCACACUGGGACUGAGACACGGCCCAGACUCAUACGGGGGGCAACAGUGGGGAAUAUUGCAAAGUGGGCGAGAGUCUGAUGCAGCGUCGCCGCGUGAGGGAUGGAUGCCUUCGGCUUGUAAACCUCUUUCGCCAGUGAAGCAAGCCUGUCACUUUUGUGGGUGGGUUGACGGUAGCUGGAUAAGAAGCGCCGGCUAACUACGUG
rnacentral:rRNA from 1 species